AACGACUCUCGGCAACGGAUAUCUCGGCUCUCGCAUCGAUGAAGAACGUAGCGAAAUGCGAUACUUGGUGUGAAUUGCAGAAUCCCGUGAAUCAUCGAGUCUUUGAACGCAAGUUGCGCCCGAAGCCUUCCGGCUUAGGGCACGUCUGCCUGGGCGUCACGC
rnacentral:rRNA from 1 species